UAAUAACGGUGAKUACUUGACSUUACCUACAGAAGAAGCACCGGCUAAUUUCGUGCCMGCAGCCGCGGUAAUACGAAAGGUGCGAGCGUUAAUCGGAWUUACUGGGCGUAAAGCGCGCGUAGGCGGUUUGUUAAGUCAGAUGUGAAAGCCCCGGGCUCAACCUGGGAAUUGCAUUUGAAACUGGYAGGCUAGARUGCAGUAGAGGGAGGUGGAAUUUCCGGUGUAGCGGUGAAAUGCGUASAGAUCGRAAGGAACACCAGUGGCGAAGGCGGCCUCCUGGACUGACAUUGACGCUGAGGUGCSAAAGCGUGGGGAGCAAACAGGAUUAGAUACCCUGGUAGUCCACGCCGUAAACGAUGUCUACUAGUCGUUGGGAAUCUUAGUAUUCUUGGUGACGAAGUUAACGCGAUAAGUAGACCGCCUGGGGAGUACGGCCGCAAGGUUAAAACUCAAAUGAAUUGACGG
rnacentral:rRNA from 1 species